GGGUAGGUGCCCGAGUGGCCAAAGGGAGCAGACUGUAAAUCUGCCGGCGUAGCCUUCGAUGGUUCGAAUCCAUCCCUGCCCACCA
rnacentral:tRNA from 1 species